AUGCUCACUAUGGCAGCAUAUAUACUAAAAUUGGAAUGAUACAGAGAUCAGCAUGAUCCCUGUGCAAAGAUGACAUGUAAAUGCAUGAAGCGUUCCGUGAAAAA